rnacentral:rRNA from 1 species
AGACCCGAAACCCGGUGAUCUAGCCAUGGGCAGGUUGAAGGUUGGGUAACACUAACUGGAGGACCGAACCGACUAAUGUUGAAAAAUUAGCGGAUGACCUGUGGCUGGGGGUGAAAGGCCAAUCAAACCGGGAGAUAGCUGGUUCUCCCCGAAAGCUAUUUAGGUAGCGCCUCGUGAAUUCAUCUCCGGGGGUAGAGCACUGUUUCGGCUAGGGGGCCAUCCCGGCUUACCAACCCGAUGCAAACUGCGAAUACCGGAGAAUGUUAUCACGGGAGACACACGGCGGGUGCUAACGUCCGUCGUGAAGAGGGAAACAACCCAGACCGCCAGCUAAGGUCCCAAAGUCAUGGUUAAGUGGGAAACGAUGUGGGAAGGCCCAGACAGCCAGGAUGUUGGCUUAGAAGCAGCCAUCAUUUAAAGAAAGCGUAAUAGCUCACUGGUCGAGUCGGCCUGCGCGGAAGAUGUAACGGGGCUAAACCAUGCACCGAAGCUGCGGCAGCGACGCUGAUGCGUUGUUGGGUAGGGGAGCGUUCUGUAAGCCUGUGAAGGUGGCCUGUGAGGGUUGCUGGAGGUAUCAGAAGUGCGAAUGCUGACAUAAGUAACGAUAAAGCGGGUGAAAAGCCCGCUCGCCGGAAGACCAAGGGUUCCUGUCCAACGUUAAUCGGGGCAGGGUGAGUCGACCCCUAAGGCGAGGCCGAAAGGCGUAGUCGAUGGGAAACGGGUUAAUAUUCCCGUACUUGGUGUUACUGCGAAGGGGGGACGGAGAAGGCUAUGUUGGCCGGGCGACGGUUGUCCCGGUUUAAGCGUGUAGGUGUGUGUUCCAGGUAAAUCCGGUUCACUUUAACACUGAGGCGUGACGACGAGGCACUACGGUGCUGAAGCAACAAAUGCCCUGCUUCCAGGAAAAGCCUCUAAGCAUCAGGUAACAUCAAAUCGUACCCCAAACCGACACAGGUGGUCAGGUAGAGAAUACCAAGGCGCUUGAGAGAACUCGGGUGAAGGAACUAGGCAAAAUGGUGCCGUAACUUCGGGAGAAGGCACGCUGACACGUAGGUGAAGUGAUUUACUCAUGGAGCUGAAGUCAGUCGAAGAUACCAGCUGGCUGCAACUGUUUAUUAAAAACACAGCACUGUGCAAACACGAAAGUGGACGUAUACGGUGUGACGCCUGCCCGGUGCCGGAAGGUUAAUUGAUGGGGUCAGCGCAAGCGAAGCUCCUGAUCGAAGCCCCGGUAAACGGCGGCCGUAACUAUAACGGUCCUAAGGUAGCGAAAUUCCUUGUCGGGUAAGUUCCGACCUGCACGAAUGGCGUAAUGAUGGCCAGGCUGUCUCCACCCGAGACUCAGUGAAAUUGAACUCGCUGUGAAGAUGCAGUGUACCCGCGGCAAGACGGAAAGACCCCGUGAACCUUUACUAUAGCUUGACACUGAACAUUGAGCCUUGAUGUGUAGGAUAGGUGGGAGGCUUUGAAGUGUGGACGCCAGUCUGCAUGGAGCCGACCUUGAAAUACCACCCUUUAAUGUUUGAUGUUCUAACGUGGACCCGUGAUCCGGGUUGCGGACAGUGUCUGGUGGGUAGUUUGACUGGGGCGGUCUCCUCCUAAAGAGUAACGGAGGAGCACGAAGGUUGGCUAAUCCUGGUCGGACAUCAGGAGGUUAGUGCAAUGGCAUAAGCCAGCUUGACUGCGAGCGUGACGGCGCGAGCAGGUGCGAAAGCAGGUCAUAGUGAUCCGGUGGUUCUGAAUGGAAGGGCCAUCGCUCAACGGAUAAAAGGUACUCCGGGGAUAACAGGCUGAUACCGCCCAAGAGUUCAUAUCGACGGCGGUGUUUGGCACCUCGAUGUCGGCUCAUCACAUCCUGGGGCUGAAGUAGGUCCCAAGGGUAUGGCUGUUCGCCAUUUAAAGUGGUACGCGAGCUGGGUUUAGAACGUCGUGAGACAGUUCGGUCCCUAUCUGCCGUGGGCGCUGGAGAACUGAGGGGGGCUGCUCCUAGUACGAGAGGACCGGAGUGGACGCAUCACUGGUGUUCGGGUUGUCAUGCCAAUGGCACUGCCCGGUAGCUAAAUGCGGAAGAGAUAAGUGCUGAAAGCAUCUAAGCACGAAACUUGCCCCGAGAUGAGUUCUCCCUGAGACUUUAAGUCUCCUGAAGGAACGUUGAAGACGACGACGUUGAUAGGCCGGGUGUGUAAGCGCAGCGAUGCGUUGAGCUAACCGGUACUAAUGAACCGUGAGGCUUAACCUUACAACGCCGAAG